rnacentral:tRNA from 1 species
GCCUUCGUGGUGUAGUGGUCAGCACGCUGGGUGCGUAUUCCAGAGGUCCGUGGUUCGAUUCCCGGCGAAGGCG